AGUUCCAAAAUUUGGCCCAGUAUCCAGUAGUGUUAAAGGAACAAAUUUUACUUUAAUGGAGUCUGGUGGUGCUAGUGAAGUACAUAUAUAAACAGAAAUGUGGCUGUGGCCAUUUUUGACAAAUGUAAUCAGCCAUAUGAUCUUAUAUCUUAUAUUCUUUCUUUUCUUUUUCUGUUGAUUUUCAAAUGGUGUUUAUUUGUUUAGUAACUCAUGUGUGGGCUACAGUUUUCGGUGAUCAUGGUCAUGCUGAAUUAAAUAAAAAUAAUUUUAUGCUAAAUAAAGAAUUUUUUCUAACUUACAUUUUUUCUUGUUUUAUUGUACUGGUUAGGAUGCUCAGUAUAAUGGUAAAUACAAGUACUGAAUGAACAUGUUAAUAGUAGGUGUUUUAUGAAAUCAAAAAAACUAACUUUUAAAAUAUUGUAGUAAAAUAUACAUAACAUAAGACUUCUUGUUUAAGCCCGUUAAGAUUGUGUUCAUUAUUAUGAAACUAUUAGAACCAUCUAACCCCAGGACUUUUUCCCUAACCUAAACUCUAGCCACUGGUCAGUAACUUCUAACUCCUCUUUCACUAGUUCUUGCCUGUUAUUUUUUUGUCUGUAUAAAUUUGACUAUUCUAAUGAUCUCAUGUAAGUGAAAAAUUUUAUACACACACAGUAGUGAAAUGCUUGCCUAGCAUGCUUGAGGCUCUGUGUUUAAUCCUCUUACUAUCUCAUAAAAGAGAGACAGAGGUCCCUUCAUGCUGUAGUUUGUCUCAGUUUUUGUUUAUUUAUUUGUUUGUUUAUUAUUUUUUAUUUUUCUGGUUUUUCAAGACAGGGUUUCUCUGUGUAGCCCUGGCUGUCCUGGAACUCACUUUGUAGACCAGAACUCAGAAAUCCGCCUGCCCCUGCCUCCCAAGUGCUGGGAUUAAAGGUGGUGUACCACCACCGCCCGGCUUCGGUUUUUAUUUUAAAGCUAAAUGAUUUUCUGUUGGAUUUAUAUGCCACAUUCUGUGUCACCUCUUCACCCUUCCAAGGGUUGCACUUAAUUUUUUUUUAACCUUUUGGCUAUUUUGUUUAACUAUUUGAGAAACAACCAUACAAGGGCUGUACCAUUUUUACAUGUCCAUCCAUCAGUAAGUAAAGAUAUUUUUCUGCAUGCUUUCUAGCACUUACUAUUUUAUCUUUGCCUUUCUUCCCUCCUCUCUCCCCACCCCCCAGGAAGAGGAUAGGGAAAGCUCCUUAUGAGGAGUUAUAUUGUUUUAUUUAUUGUGUAUCUAGCAUCCAAAAUCAGUGUAGGAUGAGUGAGGUGGUACUGGUUGCAGUGGCCUUUCUGUAUGGAGAAUUUGUCUUUAUAAAGGAGUUGGCUUUGUAUGGUGAGUUAGAUGUCAGCUGAUGGACGAGGAUGGGGCCUCAGAGAGUUGGAGUCUUAGGAAUAGGAGAGUGAAAGUGUACCAAGAGUGUACUUGCUGACACUGUUCACAAUGGCAUGUUAAAUAGUUGUACCAAGAGUGUACUUGCUGACACUGUUCACGAUGGCAUGUUAAUUAGUUGGAGGGCUGAGGGGAGGACUCAUUGUGGAAUGUGCUUGGUGUGCAAGCAUUAGGAUCUGAGUUUGGAUCCCCAGCACCCACUUAAAAAUGUGUGGCUGGAAGCCCACUAGUGAUUGUCCAGUGCUGAGCAGCCAAAAUAGGCAGACCCUGAGAACUUGCUAGUUAGCCAGUAUGGUGAGCUCCAGGUUCAGUUAGAGACCCUAUCUCAGAAAUAUGGCGGAGAGCAAUAGAAGAAGAUGCCAGCAUCAACCUCUAGCUGCCAUGCAUGCACAUGGUCACUCACUUACACAUUCACACAUAUACACUCAUACACACACGCAGAAGUUGAAGAAAUUAUUUGACCAUAAAGAACAAAUUUGGUUUUUUUUGGGACAGUUUUUCUUUGUAGUCUUGGCUGUCCUGGAACUCACUGUGUAGACCAGGCUAACUUCAAACUCAGAGAUUUACCUGCUUCUUCCUCAUGAGUACUGGGAUUAAAAGGCAUGCAUCACCACCACACAGCUAAUGGUAACAACUUUAAAUGAAGGAAGAGUCAAUUCAAAGGCAAGAAUUGAUGAGUGUAUGUUCUUAGUUGGCAAUAGUAGAAUAAAAACUUGUUUUGUUUUGUUUUGUUUUGUUUUUCAAGACAGGGUUUCUCUGCAUGGCCCUUGCUGUCAUGGAACUCACUCUAGACCAGGCUGACUUCAAACUCAGAAACCCCUCUACCUGUGCCUUUGAAGUGCAGGGAUUAAAGAUGUGAGCCACUAUAGUGACUCUCCACAGCUUAUACCAGUGGUUCCCAACCUUUUUCUUGAUUGUUCUAGAACUGCUUUUUGUUCUUAAAAUUUAUUGAAACUUAAGCUUUUGUUGAUGUGGGCUGUAAUUACUAUAUUAGAAAUUCAAACUGAGAAACUUUGAGACAGCAGAAUGUCCAAGAACGGAUUUCUCUGACUAUCGGAGGCAUUGAGUCAUCCAUAUAAUCCAUCCUCUGAGAACUCUACAUGCUUCUGGAGGGAAUAAGAGUAGAAAGGCACUGGGCGGUGGUGGCGUACGCCUUUAAUCCCAGCACUUGGGAGGCAGAGGCAGGUGGAUUUCUUAGUUUGAGGCCAGCCUGGUCUACAAAGUGAGUUCCAGGAUAGCCACAGCUACGUAGAGAAACCCUGUCUUGGGAAAAAAAAAAAAGUAGAAAGGAUAAUAAUAUCUUAGUGCUUCUAGAAAAACAAUUGUGACAUCAAGGGUGCCUUAAAAGGGCCUUCAAUAUCUUUCCUAUGUUCCCUUGAAUCCCACCUUGAGAACAUCUGCCAUCUACCAAAUAAAUAGCCUUAUUGCUACCUUCAGUUGGAAGAAUUCCAAGAAUAAAAUUGAAGACCUCAUUCAUUAUUUAAGUGGAGUUCUAGAGUUUUAGGAACAUUAGUAGUGAACUGUUCUUGUCAGAGGCACAGCUUCUUUCCAUAGAGCGAGGAAGCCACUCUUACAAAUGGAGUAGAGACAGAGAGUAAAAAAGGACAAAUGACACACUCUUCAUUUCACACAAUAAACUGAUUUGAUUGACACUGAACCAACAUUUAUAAUUUAUUACCUAAGUUGCAUACUUAUAUGAUAUGCUUGACUGCUUAUGACAUAUUAACUAUAAACAAAAAUGAUGUAAUUUAGAGAGUUUUUUUGGAUUUAGUAACUUGUUUGGAAAGGUUUGAGUAAAGAGAGACCUGGAAUUAUUACCUUCAAAUCACUUGGUUCAUUUCUCAGAAGUGUUUAUUUCUCAACUACACAUACUUCCUAUAUUUAAAACAGCACCCAGACAAGACCACAGAAUUAGCUGGAAACACCUGCGUUCACUAGGCCUAUAGAGUAA
rnacentral:lncRNA from 1 species